GUCAGCUAAAAUGCAGGCUGCUGUCUGUAAGAUGUCUUCACUGGUGAUCGGAGAGCAGAAACCCUCCCUGUGGCCCUUACAGGAGAGAACUGAGGUGAGACACAGGAGUGGGGAGGCAAACAUGUCUGGGGGCUUCUACAUAAAUGAGCUUUACUCUUCCUUCUCAAAGUCUUGCUAAUUAAUACUUCAGGUGAGAUAAUUAGACUUCCACAGACUUUGCAAUUUUAAAUACUCGGCUUUUAACUGGGACCCCGCUUCUCCCCAUCACCUGCAGAGAGAGACAGAGAGACAGAAAAUGGUGUUUCUUUCCUGUAGUUCUUGCCUCUGGUUUCCCAGAGCUCUUAAAAUCUCCUAAUCUCUUGAUACUAACUUGGAAACACUUUUGCUAACAGAAAUCUCUUUUUCUAUGUCUUUCACAGAGGUCUGCUUGCAUGGCAUUAAGAGCGAAAAUGCUGGGUGACUGGCAGAUUCUGUUAUGCUGUGGUGGAAAUUUUUUCCAUUAGCUUGUUUUUAUUUUUAGAGAACAUCAUUGAAACCUAAAAGCCAUUGUCAUUGAGUCAAGAAAAGAUUUUGAUAUCUCUGAAGGGAAAAAGGAGUAAAACCUUUAGAUACUCCAGCAUCUCAAGCCACGUUUGUCUUCCACCCAGUGACAUGAGGUUCCUGAAAGUUUUCCAGGUGAUGGCAGAGAUGAUUCCCCAGGCUUACCUGGUCCCUAGUGUUCAUGACCAGCGUGAGAUAAGCUCCCUAUUCCUGGGUUCAUAUGGAUACACGAUCUGGAAUCCUGGACAAUUUUCCUCUCAAGCAACAAGUAAAUUUUAGGAGGGUCCUGUGAAUCGCUGACUGGAGCACAGCAGCCCUCAAGGCAUCUGACCUGCAGUCUGCCCCAGCUCUUUCUUUAAGUGGCCAAGAGCAUCAGGCUAUGAGAACUUAAAACUCAAAAUGCCAGAUUUUUUGUACAGCCUGUCGCUAUUUUCUUCUUGGCUCCCAGAUUCUGGUGACUUCUGACUUCCUGUAAUUAGGCUUUUCUGGGCUAAAAUCUAGAGAGUCCUUAAACGAAAGGGCUGUCUUACCUGUUAUAAAUGAGAACCCCCCCAAAUUAAAGUGCUUGAUUCUUCUACCCUGUUACUUUUUCACUUAUUUUCCUAUCUCUUUGAAGGUCAUCAGUAUUUAGGCAUUAAAGAGAAACCUGAAGAGAAAGUAGACAAGAAUGGUAUUUUGAAAGCUUGAAGGAUUUGAGAAGUAGGCCAGAUACUCAGGAUAGAUACGCAACUCCUCUACAAAUUAAUACCUAUAAUCAUUUCAUCUUAUUAUAAAUAAAUAAAGCUUACUAAUUUGAUUGUAGGAUAAA
rnacentral:lncRNA from 1 species